rnacentral:rRNA from 1 species
UACGGAGGGUGCAAGCGUUGCUCGGAAUUAUUGGGCGUAAAGCGUAUGUAGGCGGAUCGUUAAGUCGGGGGUGAAAUCCCGAGGCUCAACCUCGGAACUGCCUUCGAUACUGGCGAUCUUGAGUCCGGGAGAGGUGAGUGGAACUGCGAGUGUAGAGGUGAAAUUCGUAGAUAUUCGCAAGAACACCAGUGGCGAAGGCGGCUCACUGGCCCGGUACUGACGCUGAAAUACGAAAGCGUGGGGAGCAAACAGG